rnacentral:rRNA from 1 species
UACGGGGGGAGCAAGCGUUGUUCGGAUUUACUGGGCGUAAAGCGCGUGUAGGCGGUUUCGCAAGUCAGGUGUGAAAGCCCAGGGCUCAACCCUGGAAGUGCACUUGAUACUACGGAGCUUGAGUGCUGGAGAGGAGAGCGGAAUUCCCGGUGUAGAGGUGAAAUUCGUAGAUAUCGGGAGGAACACCAGUGGCGAAGGCGGGUUGCUGGGCUGACACUGACGCUGAUGCGCGAAAGCUAGGGGAGCGAACGGG